CUUCUAAAUACUUCAAGUGUCUCCUCAGUAGUGCCCAGUCACUUGGAAUCAUUCCCUCACUAUUUUCUAGAAGACAAUGAUGCUUGCCUAACGCUCACUUGGCUUUUCUCCACACAGACUCUGAGAAUUUUAAUUGGCCAUAUGUUUCAGAGCUAGUUUCACACUUGGUCAUCAGUGACAACUCAUUGAGAUUUAGAUGUUCUUUUUAUCAAGCGAUGCUGGGCAACCUUUGGUGAAGAGAUGCUGGGUGGGAUUUCUUUGAUUCCUAAUGUGCAUCGUUAUUUCAGCUUUAAUUUUUGAGCAGCCGAUUUUCUACAGCGUGUGAGUCUGGCACCAAUGCACAUAACCAGAUCGAAGCUCCAUCCCCACUCCUUGGCCCCUAAAGGAGAGAAGUGAUAUAUGACAAGAACCUGCUUUAAAAAAAAAGAGUUCGCAAACCUCUUUACAACGUGAAGACCCAGGAUCGCUAGCUUUGUUGGGAACUACCCAAAGCCAAAUGCUGCAGUGCGGCAUGUCAGUUUAGUCAACUGAAAAACUCCACUCAGCUUUCAGUAGUGGCUUCUUUAAUAUGGGCUCAGAUCUAUAUUGUUUUGCAUCAAAAUAUAAGUCCUUUAAACUGGUUUGAAAUAUUUAAAGGAGACUUUAACAAUUCAAAUAAUAAUAAAAUGAGAGCAUGUCCCGACAACAUUACCGCCCCAGUUUGUAAUCUGGAACACUGAACACUGUGAAAGCCAACUUCUCCCCAAACAAAAAUGCUAGUGCAAGAACUCUUGUGUAAUUUCAGAGUUACAACUAGCCUGAUAUCUAUUUUCAGAGAGAGAGUUUGUGGCACAAGUGAAAGACAUUUCAUUUCUUUUUCUACUAAUGAGAACUCUUUUGCUAGCAUUAGAACUGGUGUGGUAUCCUUGCUUCCAUUGUUAACAUCCUCUUUAUUCUGGAGUCAUUUUCUUCCCAAAGCUAAAUUCAUCCUUCAUCUAACUCCAGGGAGGUCAACAGACAAGCGUCUUGGAUAAAUUUGACCAGUGAUGUUUUUCUCUCAGAAAUAAAACCAUGAUCAACAAUUGAGACACAGGAGCCAGCCUCAUAAAAUUAAUCAUCUUUGAACGAGGACUUUAAUGGCCAUUUUGAAUAUGAGAAUAAGCAUGAAAGGGAUUCUCAUCUAUUGUUUAAUCCAGGGCCUUAAAAAGCUACAGUAAAAUUCAUGAAAUCUGUCCUGACAUUUUGAAACUAUGGAUGCUGCUGACACAUUUUUAAGUAAGAUGAAGGUUUGAACUUGUGACCUGUAGUUUACAAGACCAGAAACACUAAGGUAGGAACUGAGGUUUACUGUUCAGCUUGCCUUGCUCAAUGGAGUGGGUAAGAAACGACUGCAGCCUCACAAAGGAGAACAUGGAUCAAUUUAAUAGUCAUAAAUCCUCUUUUAAUAUCAUCUCAUAGAGGUUUACGGCUCCCCAGUCCACAGGAUGUACCAGAAAUGUGUCAUUAAAUUUUAAAACACAUAGUGCUAGAUUCUUCCUUGCAUCCAAGUUCUGCACAGUUCAUGGGUGCGUGAGCAGGAAGUGGUAUCAGCCAAUAUUUGCAAACUUGGAUGUCAGAAUAACCUAGUGGUUGCUCUAAUUUGCUUCUUUACCCCAUGGUCCCUAUGGGACUUUUACUCGUUAUUGCUUAAGGGUGUUUGAAGUAUACAUUGUUACUUUACGUCUUUCCUUUGAAUAGCUAGGGAUUUCUAUGCAUAUUUUUCAUGUUUAUUUUCCCUUUGGUAACUUAUUUUUUGCAGUAUUAGCUCAAGAAGUUUUUGCCUGGGGAUUUUUUUAAUGUAUGUUUUAUGUGUAUAGUGUUGCCUGAAGAAAAAUCAGAAGGCUUUUCUGGAUUCAAAUCUUUUAAUUCAAUUUAGAAAGAGAUCUUUGAGAAAUAAUUGAUACAGUUCACUGCUGCUCAAGUCUAGGGCAAAAAUAACUGAAUUAUAUGUCUGUGCAGUAAAGAAAUCAAUAUUCAGUGUUCCAGCUCAUUAGGAAGUGAAACUUAGAUACUAGUAAGUGAUUAUUAAAAAGUCACAUAUGCAUACAGCCAGUCUGGUAUAUGGGCAUUGCAGGGCAUUGCAGGGAAUCUGUCUCUGUGAACACAUUUUAAGGACCAUUCUGUUCACGAAGGAAUAGGGCUUUGAUAAUCUUGCAAAGUGUGCUUUACUGUAUAAAGGCCCAGUCUUGUGAGUAGUUUCCUAUGUACAUGUAUUGUCAUUUGCUUUUCAGUUGGUGAGGUUCUGCACGGGUGUAACUAUAUGAGCUUGCGCUUAGGCCAGCUGUUACAAAGCGAUAUAAAUACAGGGAGACAUAGCAUCUUGGAUGAACAAGUGUUGCCAGAAAUUUCUUCAUAUAAUAUCGUAUACAAUAUAAUGUACUGUUUCACCCUGAGGACCUUUUCCCUCAAAGUCAGAUUUUUAAAUAAAGUUCAAACAAAGACUGAAA